rnacentral:rRNA from 1 species
AUUCCAGCUCCAAUAGCGUAUAUUAAAGUUGUUGCAGUUAAAAAGCUCGUAGUUGGAUUUCUGUUCUCGAGGAUCGGUCCGCCUCACGGUGAGCACUGGUUUUUCUUGGGGACAUCCUCUCGAAGGCGGGUGGUGCACUUAAUUGUGUGCUGCUUGGAUUCGGGACCUUUACUUUGAAAAAAUUAGAGUGUUCAAAGCAGGCGUCGGCUUGAAUACAUUAGCAUGGAAUAAUGGAAUAGGACUUUGGUUCUAUUUUGUUGGUUUCUAGGACCGAAGUAAUGAUUAAUAGGGACAGUUGGGGGCAUUAGUAUUUAAUUGUCAGAGGUGAAAUUCUUGGAUUUAUGAAAGACUAACUACUGCGAAAGCAUUUGCCAAGGAUGUUUUCAUUG